rnacentral:rRNA from 1 species
UAGCUUGCUAGGUGUCCUUAGUGGCGCACGGGUGAGUAACACGUGGGAACAUACCUCAUAGUACGGAAUAACUGCGGGAAACUGUAGCUAAUACCGUAUAUUCCAGAAAUGGGAAAGAUUUAUCGCUAUGAGAUUGGCCCGCGCAAGAUUAGCUUGUUGGUAAGGUAACGGCUUACCAAGGCUCCGAUCUUUAGCUGGUUUGAGAGGAUGAUCAGCCACACUGGGACUGAGACACGGCCCAGACUCCUACGGGAGGCAGCAGUAGGGAAUAUUGGACAAUGGGGGAAACCCUGAUCCAGCAAUGCAGCGUGAGUGACGAAGGCCUUAGGGUUGUAAAACUCUUUCAUCGGUGAGGAUAAUGACAGUAGCCGAAGAAGAAGGACCGGCUAAUUCCGUGCCAGCAGCCGCGGUAAUACGGAAGGUCCUAGCGUUGUUCGGAAUUACUGGGCGUAAAGCGCAUGUAGGCGGAACAAAAAGUUAGAAGUGAAAUCCCUGGGCUCAACCUAGGAAUUGCUUUUAAAACUUUUGUUCUGGAAUUCAGGAGAGGAAAAUGGAAUUUCCAGUGUAGAGGUGAAAUUCGUAGAUAUUGGAAGGAACACCAGUGGCGAAGGCGAUUUUCUGGACUGAUAUUGACGCUGAGAUGCGAAGGCAUGGGUAGCAAACGGGAUUAGAUACCCCGGUAGUCCAUGCAGUAAACGAUGGGUGCUAGUCGUCGGACUUUUGUUCGGUGUCGUAGCUAACGCGUUAAGCACCCCGCCUGGGGAGUACGGUCGCAAGAUUAAAACUCAAAUGAAUUGACGG